rnacentral:rRNA from 1 species
UACGUAGGGUGCGAGCGUUGUCCGGAAUUAUUGGGCGUAAAGGGCUCGUAGGCGGUCUGUCGCGUCUGCUGUGAAAAUCAGGGCUCAACCCUGGACCUGCAGUGGGUACGGGCAGACUAGAGUGCGGUAGGGGAGAUCGGAAUUCCUGGUGUAGCGGUGAAAUGCGCAGGAUAUCAGGAGGAACACCGGUGGCGAAGGCGGAUCUC